rnacentral:lncRNA from 1 species
CCUGGAGUUCGCCCUCCCCCAUCACGCGUGCCUCUGGGAGCCACAAGGCUACCCUGAUGAGCUGUGCAGCUUACUGUGAAAUGCGCUGCAUUUUCUCCCCAGCUGCCUCCUGAUUGCAGUAUUUACUUUUAAUCUCCUGUGCCUCAAUGCCCGAUAAAAACUUUGUCACAUUAGAUGGUGACAGAUGGGGGAGAGAAGGGAGGGAGGCCUGCGAGGGAGCGUCCGGGCCACUCAACAAUCCUUCAGCACGCCAAUUACGUCCUUCGGUGCUCCGCGGCGUGGGCACCCAUGUCAGCGCAGAGGGAAAUGGAAAAGCAUAAAUAAAGACAAAACCAGGCUCGGCGAGGCUUUAAUCUGCAGAAUAACAUUUCUCAUUUGUGUGAAAUAUCACUGGAUUCUCUCCCUCUGCUCCGGGGCCACACAUGAGUGCACACGCACACGCCGGGAGGGAGACAGGGGUUCCCAGCCCCUGCGGUGAACAUCCUGAUCCUCAACUCUGUGAAGCAAUUAAAGAUCCUCACAUACGCGGUGAGCUUUUCCAAGUUUGUCUGUUGUCUCUCUCUUCCUGGAGAUGUAGCGUGGAAGAGCGUGCUAGGGUACUGACGCCACGGUGACAAAGCACCGCAGACGAGGUGGCUUAGAACAAUGCAAAUGUCUUCUCUCAUGGUUCUGGAGCCCACACGCCUGCAAGCAAUAGGUUGGCAGGGCCAGGCUCCCUCUGAAGGCUGGAGGGGAGAAUCCUUCCUUGCCUGUCCCAGCUUCCAGAAGCUCCAGGCACACCUUGGCGUGUGGCGACCUACCUCCAGUUUCUACCACCCUCUUCCCAUGGCUCUCUCUGUGUCUAAAUGUCCCUCUUUCAUAAGGACAUCAGUCAUGCUGGAGUUAGGCCCACCCUAAUGACUUCAUCUUAACUUGAUUUUAAAAAGUCACAGGUACAGGGUUUAGGACUUAAAUGUUAUCUUUUUAGGGGACCGGAUUUGACCCAUAACAGAGGGGUACAGUUA